GCGACCGUAGCUCAAUGGAUAGAGCAAUUCCCUUCUAAGGAAGAGGUUGCGUGUUCGACUCACGCCGGUCGCA
rnacentral:tRNA from 1 species